AUUGUUUUUGUCUGAAAUUUCAGGAAGAUACAACCUCUUCCUUCCUUCAGUAAACUGCUCCUGUGGAAAAACCUUGCCAGUGACCAAAAGUGAUCUGGUUGAAAGUGGUUACUGGCCAGCCACUGUCAAUUUUGAGACCUUGUACUUGGUGGACUUGUUCACCACGUAUGAGGAUCUAAAAAUCACUGCCCCAGGGAUGUUGAGACAAGCUUUUGUCAGCAUGCUCGAGUGUCGUACAAAACUCUUCGGGCGAAGUGGUAAGAUUUGUGGGGACACAAUGCAGAGGGCCUUCCUCGAAUGGGCCUAUGCCAAAUUUGAGGUUGACAAGCUGUCUCAGUGGAUGGGAACCGCAAAUUAUAUCGUUUCAAAAGCCAACCGGGACCUGAUGGGUUUUUUGAUGGAGUCUUUUUGGCCAAUGAUGCUGAGGUGUCCUCCUUUGUUGAUUACAUCCAUGGAACAACUGGACAUGUAAGCUAAAUUUAUAUUUCUUCAUGUGUAACACCACAAUUUAAAAUUUUUAUGAAUGCUUGCCAGUUUUUUCCCCAAAAUGUAAACAUUAUUUGGUUUGGAUCAAAUGCCAUAAUACCAUGAUUUACAGCUUAUUUUGUCAAAUGUAACUGUGUAAAUGUCUGUAUUUGCCCUCAUCUGUUUAAG
ensembl:lncRNA